rnacentral:piRNA from 1 species
UAGAAUUUUGCUGUUACUUAAACACA